GUAAAAAAUAAAACUAUAAUUUAUUUGAUGUAUACAUUUGCAAGUGUAUAAUAAAUGAUAGAAAAUGAAAAUACAGUCCAAAAAAAGAAACAAUUUGCUAUCAACUUAACAACGAAUCUAUGUAAUGAAAUGAAACAAAUUAAAACAAAACUACAUUUAUGAAUCUUGAAGUGUUUUAGUUCAUGUUCUUUCUAAAAACAAUCUCAGUGUCAAGCCCAAACCCAUCGAUCUUCCUCAUCUCCACAACCUUGGAUCUCUUAAACAAUUUCACCAAUGGUUUCACACUAAGCAAAUCGUUAGCCGAGUACUUAUCCGUCUUCCCAGAUAUCGACACGUGUAACACACACACCCCUCCGGGCUUUAAAGUCCGUUCGAUCUCCCCAACGAACUUCUCCGGGUAAAGCGCGUGAUCGAACAC